rnacentral:miRNA from 1 species
UAUUAGGUUGGUGCAAAAGUAAUUGCGGUUUGCUUUAAAAGUAACGACAAAACCUGCAAUUACUUUUGCACUAACCUAAUAUU